rnacentral:rRNA from 1 species
UACGGAGGAUGCAAGCGUUAUCCGGAUUUAUUGGGUUUAAAGGGUACGUAGGCGGAAAAUUAAGUCAGUAGUGAAAUCCUGCAGCUCAACUGUAGAACUGUUAUUGAUACUGGUUUUCUUGAAUAUUGUUGAGGUAGGCGGAAUGUGUAAUGUAGCGGUGAAAUGCUUAGAUAUUACACAGAACACCGAUUGCGAAGGCAGCUUACUAAGCCAUUAUUGACGCUGAGGCACGAAAGCGUGGGGAGCAAACAGG